UACAGAGGGGGCAAGCGUUAUUCGGAAUUAUUGGGCGUAAAGGGCGCGUAGGCGGCCAACUAAGUCGGAUGUGAAAUCCCCAGGCUCAACUUGGGAACUGCAUCCGAUACUGGAUGGCUUGAAUCCGGGAGAGGGAUGCAGAAUUCCAGGUGUAGCGGUGAAAUGCGUAGAUAUCUGGAGGAAUACCGGUGGCGAAGGCGGCAUCCUGGACCGGCAUUGACGCUGAUGAGCGAAAGCUAGGGGAGCAAACGGGG
rnacentral:rRNA from 1 species